rnacentral:rRNA from 1 species
UACGGAGGGUGCGAGCGUUGUCCGGAAUCACGUGGGCGUAAAGGGCGCGUAGGCGGCGCGGGGAGUCAACGGUGAAAGUCCGGGGCUCAACCUCGGAUCGGCCGUGGCGACUCGUGGGCUGGAGCACUGUAGAGGCGGGUGGAAUUCCGGGUGUAGCGGUGGAAUGCGUAGAGAUCCGGAAGAACACCAGUGGCGAAGGCGGCCCGCUGGGCAGUGGCUGACGCUGAGGCGCGACAGCGUGGGG